rnacentral:rRNA from 1 species
GAUCCUGGCUUAGGAUGAACGCUAGCGACAGGCCUAACACAUGCAAGUCGAGGGGCAACAUGGUAUCAGCUUGCUGAUACCGAUGGCGACCGGCGCACGGGUGAGUAACGCGUAUGUAAUCUACCUGUAACAGAGGGAUAACCCGGAGAAAUCCGGACUAAUACCUCAUAGCACAUAUUAUUCGCAUGAAUUUUAUGUUAAAGAGACUCGGUUACAGAUGAACAUGCGUUCCA